AAGUCUGGAUGCUCAGCUCCUGGCAGCCCCUGAGCAGUGGGUCUGUGUGUCCAGAUCAGUU
rnacentral:miRNA from 1 species